UACAGAGGUGGCAAGCGUUGUUCGGAAUUACUGGGCGUAAAGGGCGCGUAGGCGGUCUUGUAAGUCUUGUGUGAAAUCCCUCGGCUUAACUGAGGAACUGCACGGGAUACUGCGAGACUUGAGAUCGGGAGAGGGAAGCGGAAUUCCGGGUGUAGCGGUGAAAUGCGUAGAGAUCCGGAGGAACACCGACGGCGUAGGCAGCGCCCUAGACGAGACCUGACGCUCAGGCACGAAAGCGCGGGGAGCGAACAGG
rnacentral:rRNA from 1 species